UUGCUUCGGUGAGGCAUAUGUACCAAAAUUGAAACGCUACAGAGAAAACUAGUAUGGCCCUGCACAAGAAUGAUAUCUUGAACACAUUUUUACACUACUUGU
rfam:Aedes aegypti strain Liverpool supercont1.559 genomic scaffold, whole genome shotgun sequence.